UACACUUUAAAAGAGUGAAGAAAGGGCAGGUGACCUCCAGAGUCAUUCAAUCAUUCACUCAGCCACCAUGGGUUGGGCAGGAAAGAUGCCACAGGAAAGAGUUGGAGAAAUUCAUGAAUGCCUUCUCGUCCUUGAGUUUGAAGCACUGGAUUAAGCGUUAGGAAUUACAGAUCCAAGAUCUGUCUACCAACAACUCUAAGCAAAGAAUGAAUGCGAAGAAUGGUCUUCAAAUAGUACAAAGCAAAUGAGAACGCAGAGGCUGGAGGCUUAUUUCUGGCUGAGGUAGCCAGGGAAAGCUUUGUGUCCAGUGAUGGGGCCUUGAUGGAUGAGCUGGACUCUGUAAAAGCCCAGUUUUCAGAAGUUAAGCUAAUGCGUUGUUAUUCCCCUGAUUCUAAUUUUGAACUCACAAGGUUUUCCUGGGGAUAUUUUAGGAUUCUAGUCACUUUCAUAAAAUGUAAAAAUAGGUAAAGCUAUGGCUGUAAUGUAAGGCAAAUUCAUACUAGUAUGUCUUAGGCCCAUGUGAAUGUCAGGUAUAAAUUAUCCCUCGUCUUUCCAGCUAUUCCCCAAAGUAAAUAUUAUAAUAAAAUUUUACAGAUAGGGGAAACUGAGGCCCAGAAAUGUUCCAUCAUCAGCCAUCACCAGAAAGUGGGAAACUAAUGGCAGUUAUUUUCAAGCCAAGUACCAAACACAUGAAGGGUGCGUAAAGUCCUAAGAUGUGCAGAUAAUCCAGCCCUACUGGUUCCUUAGCUGGGUACAAUGUACCAAAUCUUCCACAAGAAUAUUUUGAGAUGGUGAGCUGCCAGCAGUGUACUGGACCCCUUUUAAGCUUUUGUGUGCGAUGCAAACCCUUCCAAAAUACAGGUACUUUUCCAAAAGACAAUGUCCCUUUCAUUCUGGCUAAGUGUGGUUUCCCCUCCCUCUCUGUUCAAUGGUGGGGGGGGGAGGGGCACCCGUCUCAAGGCCAGGAUUUAGUUGAAGUUAAAAUAAGGAGGGGAAAGGGCCUAUGUCAAUGUGGAGGCUGAUCCUACUUGGCCCAGGGAAAAGUAAGCCAUUCUUUUUUUUUUUUUUUUUUUAAUUUUACACUGCCAACUCAGGGGCACCUAAAGCCUCAGUGUAUUAGCUGUUCAGACUUUUGAUUCCGAAAGCUUACUUCUUCUUAAAGGCUGCCCCCUGGACUGGCUGUGCUGCUUUAAAUUCGGGUCUCUAAGAAAUUGGUGUGAGCAACUUUCUUUGAGCCUUCAAAGUAAAGCCAAAUGCUCUGUCCUCAGCAGGAAAGUGACUUUAAUUAAUUCUGGACGACCUUUCCAUUGAAAAGCAAAACACUGCCCUGAGGCUUUUUAGAAAGGUUAGGUUGUACCUUUUCCCUCUUAUGGUGAGGAGGUAGGUAUGAGUGUUUCUCAUACAAGCCUCUGCCUCCUGCGUUCCUGUAGAAUGCACGCUCUUUAAUCCAGGAAAAACAAAAUAAAACAAACCAAUGGGCAAAGAGGCCCUGUUUGUAGCCAAUUAACUUCUCAAUUCUAGCAAGAACUAAAGCACAGCAUAAAAUCUUCCAUCACAAUAAAAUAUGACUAAAGACCUCAUCAAUUCUCAUUUAGCAAAUGCUUUGUACUGGACCAUCUUUUUCUCAUACUUAGGAAUUCCAUUAUUUCUUAUUUCAGUGAACAUGUUCGGGGAAAAAAAAAAUUAAGUGGAAUGGGAUUAGGUUUGCCAUUUGUCAUUUACUCAGAACAGAAUUCCGGUCUGACAUGCAGGCAACUCAUACCCAGAGCUUAAUGCUUUUAGUAAUUAUAAGGAUCAUGUAGAGUAUGUUGAUUGGUGGGGGGAAAAAAUCUUUAUUAACUGCUCAGAAAUAGUUAAUUCUUCAUUAGUCAGAGCACUGCACUAGAGGCUGCUGCCUGUGAACCAUGGAUUAGAGUUUAUGAUAGUAAUAACCUCCCUGAAAAAACAUUUGUUACUAUACUUAAUGACCAGAUUUUAGUGCAUUAACCUUCCUCAGGAGGUCAACUAACAAAAUGGAUGUUAACUGCUUGUAACAACCAAUUCCUCUGAAAUUAAUAUUUAGAUGCCUUUGGUGUCAAAAAAAAACCUUCCUUCCCUAUCAGGGCAUUAAAAACACUUCUAAAUUAUUAAUAGCAGGCAGGAUUCAAUGCCUCAAAGAUUUCCAUGCCAACGCUCUUUAUCCUCAGCCUCUUCCUAUUUUCUCGAACAGAGUUCUCUUCGGCAGGAACAAGGAAGGCAUUCAGGGAAAUUAGGUCUCAGAAAUGCAUGUGGGUCAACAAUGUACUGCAGUUUGGAAAAGGUCAUCCUUUAAGUUCAACAGAAAUAAACAUUACAGGAGUGUGAAAGGCGAUGCUGAGAGCACACUGGGAACCCAACGGGGACAGACACCCCGCCAGGCCUGGGCUCCAGAGCUACAGCCCUCUCACCACCUGUCAGGAACUCCUUAACGACACGUUUUUUUUUUUUUUUUUGCAUCCCUUCUGCGACUGACCUCCUGGCUCAUCUCUCCAGCCCCUCCCUCUGCCUUCAAAUUGGAAACAAACCACACUUAUGUCAAAACAACUUCUCAACUAUUUCCUUCCCGAGCAAUCCCAGAAUAUAAAACAUGUUCUGAAAAGCUGCACCAUUCCCUGGAGAAAUUUUAUGAUUUGGUUACUGCAGAGUGUGCUGCUCCUUGGCUGGGGUAGCCUGAAGUCCUUGCCAAACAAUGAAGCAAUGCUAUUAUUAGCCUUCCUAUUCAAUGGCCACAAAACAGCCCCUGUUUCUAUUUUCAGACUGUGCUCUUCUGGCUCAAGAAGGCCAACACUGCACCCGUAGGGCAAAGGAGCCAUCCAUUGCCAAAACCUGCAGAGCAGUGGGAAGGGGAAAGGUUUUCCUGGUGGCAUUUUUCGGCAGAGAGAAUAUGUUAUCUUGCCUGCUUCUUGGGAACCGUGGAUCCUUCAUCAGUGACCUGGAAUGGUUGCUAAGUGUGAAGCAGAGAGCAGUUCUGACAGCCUUCUUUAAGCACAGGAUAUCCAUUGCUCUCAUGCGAAAAAGAAGCCUCCCAGAAAAGACUGCAUUGGGCAUUGACAGCUCUUUCACACGUUGUACUGUUAUUUCUGAAACCCGAUCACGAGUUGUACUAUCUAGGUAAUACAUGCCUUUUGGACAUUUCUUAGUAAAGAUGCCCAAAUGAGAGACCCUACUGAUGAAAGCACUUCCUUCAGGGACCUUCAAUAGCUCGAUAUAUAUUUAGGGAAAUACAAAAGGAGAGGAGCGUGUAUUUUUGGGAUUGGGAAAAUACACAUUUUCCAUUGGACUAAACUGUCAACUCAUCAAUAUUUUAGAAUGGGUCAUGACCUGCAUAAAAGAAAAAACAAACAAACCUGUUUUGACUUUCUUGGCAGCCCCAAUCCUAAUUUGGUGGAAGUGGCUUUGUGCCUGGAUUUGAAAGCCACAGUCCCAGCCUUCUAUGCACUCAGCAAUGGCCGUAGAGCACACAUCUGGCCAAUGGUAUCUAAGAGGAAGUUACUUAAAGCUACUUAAAAUAGGACAGAAGCAGCUGAAGGGCACACGUUUUGUUCUCAUGCGUUUUCCUCUAGUAGCUGGAAUCAACUAGUAAUUUUGCAGUAGGAAAAAAUGAAAAGAUUCAUAGAUCCGGCAAUAAUGGUUUUAACAUGAGCCAUCCUUCCCUCAUCCUCCACAUUAACCCUCCAAUUUGCAGUUCCCUGAUUUGCGCAGCCAAAUGGAAUACCUAACGGAAAUAGAAUAUGGUAUCAGAACUGGCAGGGGGUGUAGCAAGGAAAGGAUGCUUCAAGUAAUAGAACCAAAAAUGUUUAAUUUGCUUAAUGGAAGGGGUGGGAAAGUGAGGGCAGUAUUGCAGGAGGUAAAGCUGGUUCAUCCAUAUGCAACAGGGCAAAACAGUUUUUCAGACUCUAGAAACAUUGUCUACUGACUCCUAAGUAAUAGAGAAUGUUGGCAUGCGUUGGACCCUUCUUAUUGCUUUUAGCAAAGCCUUAAGGGAGCAAUGAACUGAUUCAGAGACACACAGUCUACAAACAUGUGGAAGAAAAUACAGCACUGAUAAGAGGAGUGCUUCUUCCAAGACCAUCAAUCUAAGUUGACUGAGAAUCUCAAAAAUUGGAGCCAUUCGAUAGUUAAGAUAUAUGUUUGCUACUGGAAAAGAAACUCAAAAUACAAUGUGAAAGAAAAACAGAAGCUCAGUUCUCUCUCCUGUAACAGUCUUGAGUAUAAGCAGAAAAGCUGUAAAGUGUGUGGCUCCAUGCUGCCUUUCUAUCUUACUGCUCCCGAAUCUCCUUGUUGCAGUAAUCCAAGAUUACUCUCCACUAUUCAGGCAUUUCAGGAGGCAGGAAGGGGAAAAGAGGGAAAGAGAGGGCAUUCUCUUCCUUCUAAAGACAUACUCUGGAAGUUGCACCUGUUAUUUCUGCAUAUAACUUAUCGGAAAGAAUUUAGUUAUAUGUCCACCCCCAAGCACAAGGACUUUAAUCUGGUCUACCAUGUGCUCAGCUAAAAGCCACGGGUUCCAUGUUGCUGGAAAGGGGAAAGAACCGAUACUGCCUUUCUUGGGGUUGAACAGCUAACUUCUCCUCUCCCUCAAGCAGAAAGCAUUGUAAACUAAAGAGUGUACAUCUGUCUUCCUCUUCUUGUCUCCUUCUGAAAAUCCAGCUUUGAAAAGCAGCCUACACCAAUCUCACAUUUUUCAUAUUCCACAUUAGAAAAGUGAUGUAGCUUUAAUAAGAUAGCAAUACUUUAUAUUUUGUUCUUCCAUCAGGCCAAAGGGUUAUGGUGUUAGAAUGUUCUUUGGCAAUUCCAAAUAGGAAAAACAAAAUCUCAAAAAACUUUUGAAGAUAUCUAGCGUAGUGGAAAUGUCUCAAGAUUUAGUUCUAAUUAGCCUCUGAAACUGUGUUCCUGCCAACUCUGUUGCAUUGACUAAGUUCAGAUCAGGCAUCCUGGGACAUUUCAUUCCGUUUUGAACGAGGCGCAUUGCUAAUUCUCUAAUCAAUGAACGGACACUCCAUUUGUCAAACAGCAUAAUUGCCAUUAAAUGAAUAUAAUUCAUAGCUAAUUGUUAAAAAGGAGUAAUUUGCUGUGACUUGAACAGAUUUUAAUUGUAUUCCUUGACUUAUGGGAACAUCUUAUUAAAUAGUGGAAAAAUCUUUUUAAAAAUCUGUAUUUUGGAGCAAAGGUGGUGAUAUCUUUUUAAGAUCACACAUGGGAUGAAUUAAUCGAUUCAAACAUUAUGUGAACAAAUAUGCUGCUACAAGAAUGUUCAUUGAAGCAUUAUUUAAAAUACCAAAAAAUUUCAAGCAACAUGCAUAUCCAUCUACAGAGGCAUAGUUACAGAAAAUACAGUUUAUCUAUGCUAAAAAUCAAAAAAACUUAUUCAACGCUUAAAACAAGGAGAUAGAUCCAAGUGGAAAGAUAUCCAACACACAACAUUAAGAUUUAAAAAACUAUAAAGCGAUAUGUAUGGUUCAAGUACAUUAGCUGACAGAGCAAAUCAGAAAGCAGUUACAUACAUACAUAUAACUGUAUAUGCACGGAGGUUUUUGGAAGCAUAUGCAUGUAUUAAUAUUACAACUAAAUAGUGGACUAGUUGUCCUGGUAUGAGAAAUGGCAGAUUCUUAGUUUUUACUUUAUAAACCUUCUGUAUUUGUUGAACUUUUAACUUUAAAUUUGCAUUCGUUUUGCAUUUUAAAAAGUUAUUAAAACCUAUAAAAAUAAUUCUGUUCCAUCGCUUACUAUCCUUAAACAGUCCAUGGAAUAUAUAGCAUAAAGUAUUACUGAAUGAGCGUCUGAAUUCUGCUUCCUUUUGCUUUAUAUUGAUUAAGAGCGUGCUUCAUGACAAUUUCCUUGAUUAUUUUUCUUUUUUUGGUCUUUUCAGGGCCACACCCGCGGCAUAUGGAGGU